rnacentral:rRNA from 1 species
GAUGAACGCUGGCGGCGUGCCUAAUACAUGCAAGUCGAGCGAACAGACGAGGAGCUUGCUCCUCUGACGUUAGCGGCGGACGGGUGAGUAACACGUGGAUAACCUACCUAUAAGACUGGGAUAACUUCGGGAAACCGGAGCUAAUACCGGAUAAUAUAUUGAACCGCAUGGUUCAAUAGUGAAAGACGGUUUUGCUGUCACUUAUAGAUGGAUCCGCGCCGCAUUAGCUAGUUGGUAAGGUAACGGCUUACCAAGGCAACGAGGCGUAGCCGACCUGAGAGGGUGAUCGGCCACACUGGAACUGAAACACGGUCCAGACUCCUACGGGAGGCAGCAGUAGGGAACCUGCCGCAAUGGGCGAAAGCAUGACGGAGCAACGCCGAGUGAGUGAUGAAGGUCUUCGGAUCGUAAAACUCUGUUAUUAGGGAAGAACAAAUGUGUAAGUAAAUAUGCACGUCUUGACGGUACCUAAUCAGAAAGCCACGGCUAACUACGUG